rnacentral:misc_RNA from 1 species
GAUGAAGAACGCAGCGAAAUGCGAUACGUAAUGUGAAUUGCAGAAUUCAGUGAAUCAUCGAAUCUUUGAACGCAUAUUGCGCUCUCUGGUAUUCCGGAGAGCAUGCUUGUUUGAGUAUCAGUAAACACCUCAACUUCCAUAUCUUUUUUGAAAUGGGAGUUGGACUUGAGUGAUCCCAACGCUUUUCCUCACCGAAAGGUGGCGGGUUACUUGAAAUGCAGGUGCAGCUGGACUUUUCUCUGAGCUAUAAGCAUAUCUAUUUAGUCUGCCUAAAAAACAGAUUAUUACCUUUGCUGCAGCUAACAUAAAGGAGAUUAGUUCUUGUGCUGACUGAUGCAGGAUUCACAAAGACGGCUUCGGCCGACUUUGUAAACUCGAUCUCAAAUCAAGUAAGACUACCCGCUGAACUUAAGCAUAUCAAUAAGCGGAGGA